ACAUAUAUAAAGUAUAAAGUAUAAAUAAUAUAUAUAGGUGGGCAUAUAUAAAUUUGAAAAAUUAUGUGUAUGCAUGUUAAAAAUGUAUGUAUAUGUAUAUAAUAAAAUCUAGAAAAUGGUAUAAAUGGAUAAAUGAUAUGCAAUAAUAAUAAUAAUAAUACUAAAUAAUUUAAUAAAAAUAAAAAAUAAAAACAGGACUAAAUCAAAAACAAAACAACAUCCCAAGGGAGAAAUCAAAAAUAAAAUAAUGCCACAGAUCAAUUUGUGAUGCUCGCAGAGGAAGGGGGACCAUUGGGCAAUUAUCCCUAAUCAUAUGCGCAUUAUUCCACGUGGGACUAAAAUGAAACAACCAUAAAAUUGUAUGGCAAAUUUAAAAUAAAAGGAAAAAAAAGAACAGGGGGCUAAUUGUAACGCAUUGUAAAAGCGGGGGGACCCCGCGCAACAAUAACCCAUUUCGUGAAGACGCGCGGAUCCCCCUGGAACGGGUCGGGUCGCGCGCGGGUCAUUGGGCUAAAUGGCGCCGUUUCAAAAUUGUUAUUAAAAUCAAAGUUUUUUUUUUAAUUUCAUUUUUGUGCUGUUUUCUUUUAAAAAAAAGUUUGAAUCUCCCCCUGGCUCUCUCUCUCCCUCACGAUUUCCAGCUUCAUUUUCGGCCUCCGCCGCGCCACCUCCACGACGGGUGGCCGGAGUCGCGUGUAACGAGCCUCUCGGCGCUCCCUUGAUGGCGUCCCUGAAGGCUUGACCUUCUCAACCAUGGGACUGAGAGAAAAAAAAGAAGCCCCUCCCCUCAUUCGACUCCGGCGACGACGAAGACGGGCUCCGACGCCGGCCUUCAAAACAAACAGGUAUCCCUCCUUUCCUUUUUUUUCGUUUAAAAAAGUUGUAGAAAAUAAACAAAAAAAUAAAAAAUAAAAAAUAGAAGAAAAUAAAUAAGAAAACGCAAGAACAUAGAAGAAAAUAGACUGAGAUCAACCUUUUUCUUUUGCUUUUUGAUCUUUUUGUUAUUGAUUCGGUCUCCAAAAGAUUUACAGAGAUAGUGUUUGGCUUUUAUAGCCAUUUUACAAUGCAUUUUGGGUUGUAUUUUGCUGUUUUGCACUAGCUGUUGCGUGUUCAUGCUUUCUUUUCUGUCAUUUUUGCAGGUGUCAAUGGAGUUGGUGGCAGUGGGUGGUGGCAGCGGCGCUGAGGGCAGGUAAGCUAGGGUUUCAGUUUUCUGAAACCCUAGCUUGGCUGGUGAUUGGGUCCUGGGCCAUUUUAAUUUGGGCUUCGGGUAGUUGGGCUCAUUUUUGGUUCUGGGCCGGGCAAAAAUGGGCUUGUACAUUAAGGAUAUAA
rnacentral:lncRNA from 1 species